rnacentral:rRNA from 1 species
UACAUGCAAGUCGAGCGAGGAAAGUAGCAAUACUUUUCGAGCGGCGAACGGGUGAGUAACACGUUGGGAAUCUACCCCUGAGACCGGAAUACCUGGAAGAAAUUUCAGCUAAUGCCGGAUACGUGGUCAACACAGAAGUGAUGAUCAUAAAAGGCGGCCUUAAAGCCGCGCUGAGGGAUGAACCUGCGGCGCAUUAGCUAGUUGGUGAGAUAAAAGCCCACCAAGGCGAGGAUGCGUAGCCGACCUGAGAGGGUGAACGGCCACACUGGAACUGAGACACGGUCCAGACUCCUACGGGAGGCAGCAGUAGGGAGUAUUCGGCAAUGGGGGAAACCCUGACCGAGCAACGCCGCGUGAAUGACGAAGGUCUUCGGAUUGUAAAAUUCUGUGGUAAGAGAAGAAAGAUAUAAAGAGGAAAUGCUUUGUAUUUGACGGUAUCUUGCUAGAAAGCCACGGCUAACUACGUGCCAGCAGCCGCGGUAAUACGUAGGUGGCAAGCGUUAUCCGGAAUUACUGGGCGUAAAGAGUGAGCAGGCGGUUAGAUAAGUCUAUGGUUAAAUGCAACAGCUCAACUGUUGUUCGCUAUAGAAACUAUUUAACUAGAGUGCGGGAGAGGUAAGUGGAACUCCAUAUGUAGCGGUGGAAUGCUUAGAUAUAUGGAAGAACACCAGAGGCGAAGGCGGCUUACCAGUCCGUAACUGACGCUCAGUCACGAAAGCGUGGGGAGCAAAUAGGAUUAGAUAUCCUAGUAGUCCACGCCGUAAACGAUGAGAACCUGAUGCAGGAGAUAUUCUGUGUCGAAGCUAACGCGUUAAGUUCUCCGCCUGGG